rnacentral:lncRNA from 1 species
AUUAGGAAUAUAGGCAAUAUCCUAGGAGGAUUAGGAAUAUAGGUGUGUUUCCUACUUUGAUUGUAAAUCAUUUAAUAUUCCUUGUAUCACAAGGAUUGGAGUUGUAUAAAUAUUACCUCCCAACGGGAGAAGAAUAACCAGAAUUAUUAGAACUCUAAACUACAAUUUUAUCUUUAAUCUUCUAUGACAUAAUCUUUCAUAUCUUUCAAACGUAAUGUUCUAAACAAUUUAUGUUUCCGCAAUAAUGCGCGCACCAUUUUUAUUAACAUUUCUAAUAAUUUAUAUUGUAACCUCACUACUAUAUUAAUAUCUCGAGAAAUUUAACCUGGUUAGAAAUUUAUACCGUAGCCUGACUACUUUAUUAAUAUCUCGAGAAAUUUAAUAUGGCUACCGUAGUCACUACUUACUUUUGACUUUUGUCCUGCAUCAUGGUCUGGAUUCAUAGUCUUAUGAUAAGUGGUGUAGGUGUAACAUCUUCAGGGCUUAGCUAGGUGGGAGGUUUAAAGCUUGACCAUGGGGCUCUUAUGGGUCUUCCCAGCUUCUCCCUCUUGCCUUUAUCCUUGGGAGAUGCUGUCUCUCCAUCUUUU